rnacentral:misc_RNA from 1 species
GAUGAAGAACGUAGCGAAAUGCGAUAAGUAAUGUGAAUUGCAGAAUUCAGUGAAUCAUCGAAUCUUUGAACGCACAUUGCGCCCAUUAGUAUUCUAGUGGGCAUGCCUGUUCGAGCGUCAUUUCAACCCUUAAGCCUAGCUUAGUGUUGGGAAUCUGCUGUAUUGCAGUUCCUCAAAUACAACGGCGGAUCUGUAACAUCCUCUGAGCGUAGUAAAUUUUUAUCUCGCUUUUGUUAGGUGUUGCAGCUCUCAGCCGCUAAACCCCCCAAUUUUUGUGGUUGACCUCGGAUCAGGUAGGAGUACCCGCUGAACUUAAGCAUAUCAUAAGCGGAGGA